GUGUAUUCGCAUUUUCAGUAAUUUCGAAAAAAAAUUUUGUAUAUUUGAUGGCGACAGCGACUGUUACUCACAAGAAACUCGCGCGUUUGUCGAAAAAUCGUAGCGCGUACGUAUAUAUCGGUGUGUAGAAAUUACUAAAAAUUAUGUUGCAACUUUUUAACAGUCGUGUACAAUCUGCAUGUUGUAUAUGUUCAAUUUAAAUACAACAACAAUAGCAACAACGCAAACGCAACACAGUUUUAAGCAACAACAAACAAACAACAACCAAACCGACAAGCUAAACUUGGCUAAAGCAACAACAAGCAGCACACCCAACAACAAAAGCAACAACAAACACCACCAGCAGUAGCAGCGCGGCCAUAAACAAAAGUCAAAAUCAAAAAACAUUCGGAUAUAUUCGGAUAUUAUCGCCCAUAAACGGAUAAGGUGCAACAGAACGUGUGGAUUUCACUAAAGAUAACUAGGAAAAUAGAGGAAAUCCGAAGGAAAUAUUUACAGCCAGUCGCCUGCUGGAAUAUUGCGACUAAUAGCGAAGGAUUCAAAGCCACAAUGCCUCUGGUAGCAGUCGUUGUUGUACCAUCCUUGGCCCUCGGAUCAGCUAAAGCCAGUCGAUUCCAAUGAGAGGAGCCUGGGCCCUGAGAAUCUGGAGCAGGCGAGUGCACAGACAUUGCUGAGCAUGAAGCAUCAUACACUACGGACCACUACACAGCAUUAUCCCUUGAACAAGAAGAGAUUUCUAUCAGAAAGCAGAAAGGCACCAGGAGCAACAGGAUCAGGCGGAGGAUCACCAGGAGUAG